rnacentral:rRNA from 1 species
CCUACGGGAGGCUGCAGUGGGGAAUAUUGGGCAAUGGGCGCAAGCCUGACCCAGCAACGCCGCGUGAAGGAAGAAGGCUUUCGGGUUGUAAACUUCUUUUAUCAGGGACGAAGCAAGUGACGGUACCUGAGGAAUAAGCCACGGCUAACUACGGGCCAGCAGCCGCGGUAAUACGUAGGUGGAAAGCGUUAGCCGGAUUUACUGGGUGUAAAGGGCGAGUAGGCGGGACUGCAAGUCAGAUGUGAAAACCAUGGGCUCAACCUAUGGCCUGCAUUUGAAACUGUAGUUCUUGAGUACUGGAGAGGCAGCCUGCAUUCCUCGUGUAGCCGUGCAAUGCGUCGAUCUUAGGAGGCACCCCAGUGGCGAAGGCGGUCUGCUGGACAGCAACUGCCGCUGAGGCGCGAAAUCGUGGGGAGCAAACAGUAUUAGAUCCCCGAGUCGUC